ensembl:snRNA U6 U6 spliceosomal RNA
GUGCUCACUGCAACACCACAUUCACUAAAAUUGGAGCGAUACAAAGACGGUUAGCAUGGUCUCCGUGAAGGGUAACAUGCAACUUCAUGAAGCAUUCCAUAUUUUG